rnacentral:rRNA from 1 species
UACGAAGGGUGCAAGCGUUAAUCGGAAUUACUGGGCGUAAAGGGUGCGUAGGCGGUUCGUUAAGUCUGUCGUGAAAUCCCCGGGCUCAACCUGGGAAUGGCGAUGGAUACUGGCGAGCUAGAGUGUGUCAGAGGAUGGUGGAAUUCCCGGUGUAGCGGUGAAAUGCGUAGAGAUCGGGAGGAACAUCAAUGGCGAAGGCGGCCAUCUGGGACAACACUGACGCUGAAGCACGAAAGCGUGGGGAGCAAACAGG